rnacentral:rRNA from 1 species
GAUGAACGCUAGCUACAGGCUUAACACAUGCAAGUCGAGGGGCAGCGUGGUCUUAGCUUGCUAAGGCCGAUGGCGACCGGCGCACGGGUGAGUAACACGUAUCCAACCUGCCGUCUACUCUUGGACAGCCUUCUGAAAGGAAGAUUAAUACAAGAUGGCAUCAUGAGUCCGCAUGUUCACAUGAUUAAAGGUAUUCCGGUAGACGAUGGGGAUGCGUUCCAUUAGAUAGUAGGCGGGGUAACGGCCCACCUAGUCUUCGAUGGAUAGGGGUUCUGAGAGGAAGGUCCCCCACAUUGGAACUGAGACACGGUCCAAACUCCUACGGGAGGCAGCAGUGAGGAAUAUUGGUCAAUGGGCGAGAGCCUGAACCAGCCAAGUAGCGUGAAGGAUGACUGCCCUAUGGGUUGUAAACUUCUUUUAUAAAGGAAUAAAGUCGGGUAUGGAUACCCGUUUGCAUGUACUUUAUGAAUA